GUCAGGACAACCUGAAGCUGUGUCACAGGAACCCAGCCAGCAUGCUUGUGAGAAGCAUGCCUGAGUCCUAGAGAGUCAAUAGUCUCUGAUGAAUGCCACCCAACAGUCAAUAUCAACUGAAAGCCAUCUGCGUGAGCCAUCUCAGUCCAGUCAAGCUAUCAACAUGACUGCAGCAGCACUGGAGACUGCAAGAAAGAAUUGCCCAGCUUAGGCCAGUCAACACACAGGAUUACAAAAGCGGUUGCUCAAAGCAGAAAAAAAU
rnacentral:lncRNA from 1 species